GACGAACGCUGGCGGCGUGCUUAACACAUGCAAGUCGAACGGAAAGGCCCCCUUGUGGGGUACUCGAGUGGCGAACGGGUGAGUAACACGUGAGUAACCUACCCUUGACUUUGGGAUAACUUCAGGAAACUGGGGCUAAUACCGGAUAGGAGCUCCUGCUGCAUGGUGGGGGUUGGAAAGUUUCGGCGGUUGGGGAUGGACUCGCGGCUUAUCAGCUUGUUGGUGGGGUAGUGGCUCACCAAGGCUUUGACGGGUAGCCGGCCUGAGAGGGUGACCGGCCACAUUGGGACUGAGAUACGGCCCAGACUACUACGGGAGGCAGCAGUGGGGAAUAUUGCACAAUGGGCGGAAGCCUGAUGCAGCAACGCCGCGUGCGGGAUGACGGCCUUCGGGUUGUAAACCGCUUUCGCCUGUGACGAAGCGUGAGUGACGGUAAUGGGUAAAGAAGCACCGGCUAACUACGUG
rnacentral:rRNA from 1 species